CCAGUACAUAGACCAGCUCCAGAACAGGGCACUGGGAUGAGGAAGGGGCUGCUUUCAGAGAUAUGGCCAUAUUUUAUCAGGGAAUUUGACAAAGAGGGAAUUUUAAAAAUGAAUUUUUCCAUCUGACUUUAUUUCCAGAUACACUCCCUUGUUUUGUUUUCUUAAAAAAACAAUACACUGUUUUUUGUUUGUUUGUUUGUUUUUGGUGGGAAUGACAAGUAUCAGUAUUAGGAAAUCCAAUUAUACA